rnacentral:rRNA from 1 species
UUGAGAGGAGCUGCUCCUAGUACGAGAGGACCGGAGUGGACGAACCUCUGGUGUUCCGGUUGUCACGCCAGUGGCACUGCCGGGUAGCUACGUUCGGACGGGAUAACCGCUGAAAGCAUCUAAGCGGGAAGCCUCCCUCAAGAUGAGAUCUCCCUGGGCACUUGAUGCCCCUAAAGGGCCGUGGAAGACCACCACGUUGAUAGGCGGGAUGUGGACGCGCUGUGAGGCGUGAAGCUAACCCGUACUAAUUGCCCGUGCGGCUUGACCAUAUAACGCCAAAGCGGUCAC